GUCACAAAUCUGACAUCCACAUUAAAUCAUCAAAUUCAAAAUAUAUUUACAAUGUCCAAAAAUAGAGAAUAUAUUUUUUUCCUUUAACCAAAACUAUUUAUUACAAUUAUGGAUCCACACACACAAACUGACCUAAUCAUACCAGAAUUACACAUUCAAUUACAGUUCAUCAUCAUUUCUCCCGGAGACAACAACCCAUUUUGAGGAAGUAACAUCAAAUCAAGAUCAUGAAAAAGGCCCCCAUAAAGAAUUGAAUUUAAGCCCAGGAAUUUCACUAAAUGCUAUAAUCCCAAUUUUCUUGAGAACCAAUCUGAAAGAUUAGCUAUUACAAAUCCUGCAAACACCUGAGUAGAGCCAAGAAUGUAAAUUGCUGAAUAAUGACGACCAUGAAUCACCAUAUCAGCCACCAUCGCAAGAGGGAUUGUGAGUGACAUACCCAAGGUGGCCACCAAUGGAGUUGUCCAUACAACGCAUAGUGCCCAAAAGUAGUCUGAGAGGACACUUCCAAUAAAGCCAUUUGCGAGAACAACUUCAUCCAUUUUAGCAGAGUGAGGAAUUGUAAACUUGGGUUCUAUUCCCAAGGCACUCAAUGGCCAAACUGAGAGAGAAUCAGAAAAUGAUGAUACAGUUCUCAGCCAAGGCAGCCUCAUACGUAAAUUUUCACUUUUAAAACUUCUCAGAACUUCAUUGACAAAUUGUUCCCAGCCAACAAUAUGGCCAGGUAGAGAAAAUUGAAUGGGAAGGGAAAAAAAAUAUGGUUAAUUAUAAUGCCAAAUUAAUUUAAAUACCAUAUAUUUUGCUAAAUCAGAGUGACCCAAAUCAAUAACUAACAGAAAAGAGUAUCAAAGUUCCAAAAAUAUUUAACUUCAUGCUCUAUAGCUAAUGACCAUGAUUCCAUCCAUUGAGACGUUACCCAAUCAACAGAACAUUGAACAAAUAAUCUCUCUUACCAAGCCACCAUAGAGCUACAAGUGUGAACAGUCCUAUGUAUCCAAACAACUUCUGCACAUCUAACCUUUCUCCUUCUUCACCAGCAAACUUUUUAAGGAGCACUGCAGCAAUAAUUGUAAAAUGAAACACAACACUCUCCAAGAAUAAUAUUAUGACAAAGACUACCUAUAAAAAGCAAGUAAUAACCAAUAGAUAAAAAGAACUUAAAAAGAGACAUUAUGAUCAACCUGUAAAUAGCCCAUAUGACACAGCUGAAAGAAGGCCAAAAAGAUCCCCAACAAGAGAGCGCUUCCCAUUGCUGAACACAAAGUAUCAACGGUCAAUGCCCAAAAAUGCAGUACAGAGAGCAAGCUGACCAAAUAAUAGCCGCUCAAACAAUAUGCAAGGUGAAACUUGAAAGAGGUAUUCUGCAUAACAGGUAACUAUAUAUAGAUGUGCAGGGAUGUUUUGUACUCAGUUUAUUAAACCGAAUAUUAACAGCUUUAGGUCAGAGCCAUAAUGCUCUACACAAUUUUCAGCACAAACAACGUAAAAAGUAGAGGACAGACCUAAACUAUCCCUUUGCCAAAUUACUCGUUAAUUAAAAAGUUUAUCAAAAUUAAAACCCUUUCCCAGGCAUUGGAGCAUUAGGUGAUAGGCCCCUUGCAAUAGCCCAUCAAAUGGAAAUGAUAAUGUCCUUCAUUUAAAUUAACACUAGUGAAAAAGUCAGAAUCCAAACACUAUCAUGAUGCAACCAACAAAGAUGAGUAGACUUAC
rnacentral:misc_RNA from 1 species